GAGGCGCCUUCGGGAGCCUCGCGCGGAAACGGGAAUAUGUCCUAUUAGGUAGUUGGCGGGGUAAAGGCCCACCAAGCCAAUGAUGGGUAGCUGGACUGAGAGGUUGAACAGCCGCAAUGGGAUUGAGAUAUGGCCCAUAUUCCUACGGGAAGCAGCAGUGAGGAAUUUUUCACAAUGGACGAAAGUCUGAUGGAGCAAUACCACGUGAGCGAUGAAGGUCUUCUGAUUGUAAAGCUCUUUUAUUUAGGAAAAAAAGCGCGCCAGGAAAUGGGCGCGCCUUGAUGGUACUAAUUGAAUAAGUGACAGCUAACUAUGUGCCAGCAGCUGCGGUAAAACAUAGGUCACAAGCAUUAUCCGGAUUUAUUGGGCGUAAAGGAAGCGUAGGCGGGGAGGUUGAUCCAUUGUUAAAGGCAUUUGCUCAACAAAUGUGUGCGAUGGAGAUCGCCUCCCUAGAGUUAAUCAGGGGGUACUGGAAUUCAAUGUGUAGCGGUGGAAUGCGUAGAUAUAUUGAGGAACACCAGAGGCUAAGGCGAGUACCUGGGAUAUAACUGACGCUGAGGCUUGAAAGCGUGGGGAGCAAAUGGGAUUAGAUACCCCAGUAGUCCACGCCGUAAACGAUGAGCAUUAGGUAUUUGACGUUACGUCGAGUGCUGUAGCUAACGCGUUAAAUGCUCCGCCUGGGUAGUAUAUAUGCAAAUAUGAAACUCAAAGAAAUUGACGGGGACCUGAACAAGUGGUGGAGCAUGUUGCUUAAUUCGAUAAUACACGAAAAACCUUACCAAGGCUUGUUAUCUACUGCAAAACUAUAGAAAUAUGGUGGAGUAUAUCAGUAAGACAGGUGGUGCAUGGCUGUCGUCAGCUCGUGUCUUGAGAUGUUUGGUUAAGUCCCGUAACGAGCGCAACCCUACUCUCUAGUUAAUUAGUUCUAGAGUGACUGAAUCGUAAGAUAUAGGAAGGAUGGGGCCAAGUCAAGUCAUCAUGCCCCUUAUGCCUUGGGCUGCAAACGUGCUACAAUGGUAGGUACAAUGUGUUGCAAUCUAGCGAUAGUGA
rnacentral:rRNA from 1 species